GGAGUUGAUGUCUAUGGUUAGGCGUGUUAGCUGUUAACUAGUAUAUGUGGGAUCAAAGCCCUCCAAUUCCU
rnacentral:tRNA from 1 species